CAUCGGAGAGUGAAGGCUGUUCCAGUUCAUUUCCCUGUCCUCAUUCAAGAGAAAAGGCUGUCUGCGAGGUUGGAAAUUCUCAGGACUUUCAUCAUUCCAUGAUCUCCUAAGCACACAGCAUUGCUCUAGCUUCCUGACACUGGUUCACAUGGGACUUGAAAAUCAUCCAUGGAGAGCCAACUAUGGACUGCCCAAAGGGAUAUGGAAUAUUUGUGCAUCAGUACAUGAAGGCACCUCCCCGCAGUGAUCACAAGACUCGAUAAGAAUGGCUGUCAUCACAGAUCAUAGAAUAUCCCAGCCUGGUACGGACCCACCAGGAUCACUGUGAUUCCAUCACUCAGCAACAACCAAGGCAUAGGCGUGCUAUCAGUGCUGUUUCAGUGGAAACCAGGACAGAAUGUGAUUCUGGUGCCCACUGCUCAUCUCUGAGUACAGUGCCUCUGUACUCACCUCCUCAUCAAUAUGGAAACCUGCAAAGAUUUUUAUUUACUGCAGUUUUCAAUUAAAACAUAACUCUGAGAAUUCUGCUGGGAUA